CCUACGGGUGGCAGCAGUGGGGAAUAUUGCACAAUGGGGGAAACCCUGAUGCAGCGACGCCGCGUGAGUGAAGAAGUAUUUCGGUAUGUAAAGCUCUAUCAGCAGGGAAGAAAAUGACGGUACCUGAUUAAGCAGCCCCGGCUCACUACGUACCAGCAGCCGCGGCAAUACGUAGGGGGCAAGCGUUAUCCGGAUUUACUGGGUGUAAAGGGAGCGUAGACGGCAGCACAAGUCUGGAGUGAAAUGCCGGGGCUUAACCCCGGAACUGCUGUGGAAACUGUGCCGCUAGAGUGCAGGAGAGGUAAGUGGAAUGCCUAGUGUAGCGGUGAAAUGCAUAGAUAUUAGGAGGAACUCCAGUGGCGAAGGCGGCGUACUGGACUGUAACUGACGUUGAUGCUCGAAAGCGUGGGUAGCGAACAGGAUUAGAUACCCCAGUAGUC
rnacentral:rRNA from 1 species